rnacentral:rRNA from 1 species
UACGGAGGGGGCUAGCGUUGUUCGGAAUUACUGGGCGUAAAGCGCACGUAGGCGGCUUUGUAAGUUAGAGGUGAAAGCCCAGGGCUCAACCCUGGAAGGCCGGUGGAUACUGUCAGGCUAGAGUCCGGAAGAGGCGAGUGGAAUUCCUGGUGUAGCGGUGAAAUGCGCAGAUAUCAGGAGGAACACCGAUGGCGAAGGCAGCUCGCUGGGACGGUACUGACGCUGAGACGCGAAAGCGUGGGGAGCAAACAGG